AGAGUUUGAUCCUGGCUCAGAACGAACGCUGGCGGCGUGCCUAACACAUGCAAGUCGAACGGAAUUUGAGAGCUUGCUCUUAAAUUUAGUGGCGCACGGGUGAGUAACGCGUAGAUAAUCUGCCUGACGAUCUGGGAUAACACUUCGAGAGAGGUGCUAAUACCGGAUAAGCCCACGGAGUCUUUGGACUUUGCGGGAAA
rnacentral:rRNA from 1 species